CUUCCCAUUUCCUCUCUCGGCUAGUUCCCUUCUACUAGCUCUUAUGCCAGGAAAGCAACACGCCCAUGCUAUUUAAAAAACCCAACUUUCUUUUUUCUCAUUUUUGGACUUUCCGGCUCAGCCUGAUAAAGUUGUAUUACGGUUUUUGUGUGCUCGUUUUCAUAAUCCUCGUUACGGCCAACCAAGAGCAUAAAAGGUGAAAUCUUUAAAAAAACAUAUUUAAUUGAUGAUCAUGCUAUCCGUAUUAGUACUCCUCCGAGUUGGUAGCUUGUGUGAAUCUAAAUUCCUCUUUUAGACAAAUUUCAACUAUAGUUGAACAAGUUCCCCCAGCUCCGUAACUCCAGGAUUUAAUCGAAGACAAUUUGCAAGAGGGCGUUUAUUCCAUCAAAAAUCAUGUUCUCUUACUUUAUAGGCAAUUUCUUGUGCGAAUAGAAUUUUCUCUUCCAAGGGGGGCAAAUAUAACUAUACAUAAAUAUACAUGCUCCUCCGGUUUGGUAGCUUAAGGAUUCGCACCAUUAGUAUUUUGUAACUUCCCACUGAGCUCAUAAAUUUUCAAUUAUGGAAUGAAACUUUGAAAUGAAUGACAAUGAACUAGAAAAUAAAUCUUAUAUGUAGAAAGAUUUGAGCUGAGAGAAUAUGCAUGCAUGCCAAUCGCAAAAAAAGAAGAAGCAUGCAUGCCAAAUGUAUGGAUUCUACUAGGAGGAAGAGAGAGGACACGAGAAAAUAUGAUAGGGGCAAAAAAGACAUGAACCUCAAUGAAACCUGGAUGCGGUUUGCAUUAGUAAUAUCUAGGAUUCCGUUUUGAUGUUAUUAUAAAAAAAGAUCCCGUUUUGAUUGUUGCUUCAGCUUUUCCAGACUUUAUUAGUCAGGCAUCACGGUAACUGUUGGAUACAUUGGUCUGCCACACCCUCUAGAAUCCAAUUCUAUCAGCUUGGUCCAAAGAUAUCAGCGACCUACAUGUGUGCCAUAUCAGAUACCUUGGGAGUGGAAGAUGGACCCAUAUCUCCAAAAAUGCUUUAAGUAUAAGCUAAAAGUAAUUUUUUAUUUUAAGAGUUUUGCUAGAUAUCUGUCGACAGUUUUUUCAGAAAAAAAUCUGUCAGAUUUCUGUCCACCGAAUGAAUAGUGCUAUUGUAGUAGUCUCUUCGGAUGUGCUGUGCUUAACGAGUCUCAUUUUCACACUGCUAAACCGACUCUUCACCUCCCAGUUUCUCUUCUUGCUCGAGAGCUCAUUCUCAGUUGUCACUUCCGUCUCCCUCCUCCCCCCUUGCUGCGCGGGCGUGUUUGCCGGCACCCUAAUAACUCACAAUUUCCCACUCAGCUUUCUUCUUGGAAUCUUUUGUCUCUGUCCUUGGUCUACUAAAUCUUUGGUGCGAUUUGGUUAUUCCUUCUUUUUUUUGUGUAUUCAUGCAGUUCAUUACCUGCAGUGCGUCAGUGCUCCUCUGUUGUUCAGCAGAGUGUUAUAUUAGUUCCCGUUGAGAACUGGAGUAGCGGCCAAAGGAUGCUAGACCAUAAAGACUCCGCCAGCGCACCCACAGGCCUGGGGUUCUAAGUGGGGCGAAUUUCCACCUGUGGUUAAAAAAUCCCCCUCACUGGCAUAACUAGGGUGCAGGGGGUUUUCUCAACCGGAAAGCCGGUUGCUUCCUCUUAAUGAAAAAUGGUUGGGGCCAUCAUACCCCACCCAGGGCAAGCCGUGCAGGUCGACGAUAGCAGCAGCAGCUUUUGUGCUGUGCCGGUCGACAACUACAACCUAGAGUUCAUCAAGUUCUCGCCUUCUAGCAGGUCUACUAGAUUUCAUUUUAAGUUUGUGCAGUGUCCAUUUCAUCCUACAGUACCUAACCAUUGCUCUGAGCACUUAAUCUAGCUUUGUUCUAUUAAUGAUCUCUUGUCUUCAUGUGUUUCUCCUUAAAUUAGUACUAGAUCAGCACUUAGUUAACUACUUUUGCUCGAUUUGAUGUGACGGCUGUCAUUUUUAGUCUUACCUUAGCCAAAAAAAAACUGAGUUGUCAGUUUUUGGCUAUGUUGGAUCAAAUGUGGCUUUCCAUUUGAUAAUUAAAUAGGAUGAUGGGAAAUGAUUCAAGUUGUUCUGUUCUAACGUCCUAUAAUGGGAAAACAGGGUUCUAUGUAGGAAUUCUUUACACAUGACCUCGGUUGCUUUUGAGAUUUGUGUUAUCUAUAUUUUUCCUAAUGAUAUUACGGCAGAGUUGUCCUUUGACAAUUUGAAGAAAAUGAGAACAGAAAAGUAUGUGCUGAUUGUGUUGACAGCAGAAUUUAUUCUUAGCAGAUUUUGGGUUGUUUCUGUACCCGUUAAUACGUGUUAUCUCCGUUAGCAAAAAGCUAACAGAUUUUUUUGCCUGUAAAUCUAUCGAACUUUAGUGCUGAUGUGUCUAUUUUUUAUUGGAUAAAAAUUUGACAGAUGCACUCAGAGGAAAUCUGUCCACAGAUACGUAGACAGUCCC